CCCCUGGUGGAGGCGACGAGCCGCUGGAGGGGGGUUCUUUUUUUGGGGGUGGUGGUGGUGUGAGUUUGUGGAUUGUGCGGUGGCUUUUUUGUUGGUCUGUUGAGUUGACAAAAGCCAUUGUUUGUGCGGUUGUGGCGUUGUCAUUUAUCCGUUUCGUUGUGAUCGUCAUCAUCAUCGUCGUCGUCGUCGUCUUCAUAAAAUAUCAUUUCCAAUCGUCUUUGUCAUUAGUCAAACGUAACAAUAGGCGUCAGGAGGCCUUCACCCAGCAGUGGAUUGACCAUGGCUCUUGCUGCUGAUGACGAUACAUAACCCACACGUCAAUGUGUGAAUUAUAGUCACGUAACGAAUAUCACGCCAUUAUCAACGACAACAUUUAACCAUUAAUCGUCAAUAAUAAUCAAAUCUAAAUAAUUAAAAUGUAACAUAAGCAAACUAAGCAAAGCUUAGGAUCCCAAGAAGCUAAAAGGACCUCAGAUGCAUGCGAAAAAUAGGGUAGAACAAAUUGAGCCACGCUCGUGUUGCAAGAGGGCAUCUCCAUGCUGUGCUCGAGGCUCUGCUCUCAAAACAAUGACGAAGUGAAACGCAAGAGCGUGAAAAGUGUCCGCUGUUAUUAAGAGCAGCCACGGCCACUUGCCUCCCAUUUGGUGUGGACCAGGGACAGCCAACGCAGUUGAAAGGCCAUGGGUGGCGCAUGCUGCCAAAUGAUGCGAGGCCCUGGGAGAUCCAGGUGCUGUGUCCCGGAGGACGGGACGCAGGGCAGGGUGGAUCUGCACAUGCGGAGCCCCCAGGGGCAGGUGGAGUCCACGAAGCGCUCCGGUGAGAUGUCCCGGGAAAAGGGCGUGUGGCCCAGCCCUCGGGAGGAGAGCUGGAGAGGCCCUCAGCGAGGGGGAUGACGAUAAGCUGGAUGUCUUCACCUGCCCGCUCUUGGGGCUGCAGUGAAAACAACCGGGCUUUCAGAAGACUCUGGCAGUCCCUAAGAACCAUAUAAAAAAUACAGGGGUCAGGUCUUGUAUGGUAUUUCAAAAAUUCUGUCUCUGUGGUGGUCUUCACAUAAAGAGCCUCGACAUGUCGUUAUAUUUAACUUGCACACGUGCAACACAGCCAGAACUGCCUCUCGUACGAUUACUAAAAACUCAUAUUUGUAAAAAUAUAAAUGGUGGCGGAUUUAAAAUUACUCGUAAGUGGUGGGUGUGAAGUCCCUACAAUCCUUUCCCUCUUGGUCCAUCGGAUUGGCAUAAGACAGGAAUAUAUGGACCUUCUGCCAACACCGUGUAUGAUGCCAUCACACGUCUGUUGUGAUGCAGCAAUGUCACUAUAACCACAUGUAUAGAACACUCUUGGAUGAACCGUCUUACUUUAACUUAUGACGUGGAUCUCAUAAAUAUAAGCGAGGUUUUACUGAUGCAAAUAAAUGUAAGAUAACCCACAGCUGCAGAGCACAUUGUCCCCCAGUGAAUUGUGACUGCCCCUUAAGAAAAGGGCCAGAAGCAGAAAUUGGUAUGCAUAAGGUGUGGUAGAAGUUUGGUCAAACAAGCUGCCAUGUGGUUUUGGCGCAUACAUGUUUAUAUAUAAAUUAAUAAAUCUACUCUUAUCAUCUCGAUGAAGUUUUCCCACUGUAGAAAUACAACACGCAUUUGCAAAAAUGUGCUAAAAAAGCCUACAAUGUUUCCCCCCACCCCCCCCCCCCCCCGUUUUGAUUAUGGCUGUUCUCAUCAUUUACAGAAAGCAUUGGAGUUGAACUUCCCACUCCAUAAUAUAAGUAUAUAUUUUUUGGUUAGAUCGCGUAAAAUAUAAACGUGUCAUUAAACCCACCCCACUGUGGUUGUGCAUCUGUCUCAACGCACAAGAAGAAUUACUGGCGUUUGAGUUUGAUUUAUUUAAGCCCGAUCUACGCUGGCACUUUUACUGCCGUGCUUUAAACGCGUAACGGUUCAGCUAAAGUCGGGAUCGGCUUCGGUGGAUCCCGGCACGUGGCCUCAAUGCCUGACGUGGCCUCAAAGCCCCGUUGCUUAUCUGGAGGAGAGAGACACCGCCCGAAUGGGUCGGCGAUGCCUCUCAUAUAAUUCCUCAUGCUUGUCCUUCUCAUAUUAGUUACGGUGAACGAAGACAUACACAUUUUUAUGAAACACCUGGAAGCAUGUAAUACACCUUAAGAUGUGAUGAAAUGCUACUGAUGAUUUCAUGGUUAAAGAAAUCCAUGUGGAUGUGAUUGUCAACUGUACACAUGUAGAGGGUUGGUAUAUACAGAUGAAGGAAUUUCCAGUUUGAAAAGUCGAUAGGACAUAUACUGUUGGAGAAUCUGGAUAAGUACUUAUUUUAGAAGCACAGUUCUGCUAGAAGCAACAUAUCCUUACAUUGCACUCGUGGAGAUAUGACUUGGGAUUUUUUUUCACAGGCGGGUUCACAAACACACUUAUUGUACUGCAAUAUUUAGCCACUGUGCGACCCAGCUGGCUUGAGAGUUUCACCUGUAAUCCAGCAUCGGAGGCGAGGGUUGAUGGAGCACACAAAUGUCGUGAAGCUCCUUACCGUGGCCGUCGAGUUCGCCAUACCCUGGCUUCCCAGUCGAUGGCAGCAACACAAGCUAAUUCAUCUCCAUCUAUGUCCAUCUAUACGGGGAUAGAGUGUCGCUACCCCGGGCACGCGUGUGUUUUCUAUAACUAUUCCGGACCACAUAGCUCGGGCAAUCAUUGGCACCGGCUCCCCGCCUCGCUACCUUCUCACUUAUCUGUCGUUCCUUGUGCCUCCGAGGUGUUCUCUCUCUUCAAGAGCAAACGAGCACUGUGUGCAUGACAAGUCUAAAUGGCACGGUAUUGUCAUCGUGGCCAUUGCUUUUGAUGCUACCGCACCUCGCCAACGUUUUCUAUCCUCGGCCAGAGCCUGCAGCUGCUCAACAGUAGACACAUAAUCUCCAAAAUCUGCCCUAACAGUAUCCCGCCAUCUCGUCUUAGAUCUUCCCCUUGAGUCGUCAGACCCAUGGACAUCACUCCAAUGCCUGUUAGUCCAUGGGCCCAGACCAUUAAAAUGACUUAUUGUUACUACCUGAGGUGGCAAAGUGUAGUAAUGAUUUUUGUAAUCCUCCAUGUGUGUGGGGCAUAUUCUGAUAUGAUAACCUUUGCGGAGUGGCAGCUUAGUUGUAGUUACCAUGACUUCUAUACCCAUUCCCUAUGACAGGCGUCCGGGACGAUGAAAUGGGCAUUAUUACUGAAAAAUUACCUAGACCAAAGCCAAUUAGGUAAACUGGUCUUUAUUGGUUUAAAUACACAAUGAAAACAGGAUAAUAAGGAAUACGAUAGUGAGGUAAGGAACUACUUGCAUAUUAUAAACAUUGACAUUCGCAUAUACUUAGUCAAUGAUACAUGUUAUCCCAUAUAUUUCGUUAGUGUUGGGUAUAUGUGAAGAAGGUUACAUUAUUGUUAUCAAGCUCUGUGUGUACUUAGAUGGUGUUAAGGGUAACCAAGUCAAGAAACACCACAUUGUGCAUCAAUGUAUACUACUACUACCACAGUAAUACCAUCAGAAUCACCAACCUGUCACUCAUCAAACUGCUCGUUUAUCUCGUCAUCUGACUCCCCGAGGUCAAAGUCAGGUUCUGGAUAUCCUGCAGUUUUUGGUUACUGCAGGUCUGUAACCCUCACAUGUCUGUGCAUGUCAGUCCAUUUGACAGGCUCGUGCAGCUUGGCAUUUUGUAUGAACGCACACACUUGCAUGCUAGCAGUUCCAAGACCACAUCUGGUGCGGGUGGGGAGCGCAUCCAGUAAAUGGCCAGCUUGCCAUCAUCGUCUGUACAUCCAUACUCAGUAGGGCUUGGCACCACAGGGUUAUCCUGCAGACAGCACUUGCAGAUUGCUGCCUGAUAGUUGGCUCGUUGAACAUGCAUGAAGAGACCGUGUCUACAUGGUGGCAGCUGGCUGGACUCGACUUCUCCCCUUUUGGUGCAGAAGAGCUGAUAGCGUAGUUCGUUCACCUCACCAGUGCUGCUAUUAGCAACAUAUAUGCGACAGGUGAACUGCUCAAUUUUCUGGAACAGCUCAUCACUCACAUUCCAUGACUGCCCCAGUCGAAUAAAAGUCUCUUGGCAUCUUCAGGGCAUUCAGCUUCCCUCGACUGGCGAAUGCACUGACAGUGUCGCAGCCUGUGAAAGCGUGUAAGCCAAUUAGGCUGUCACAGAUGCUGCCUCCGAGUGACCUUGCCAGUUUGCUGAUAUUAGUUCUUUAGUUCCAUUUAUUUGGUAUAGCCCUGUGAGCCAUUCGGCUCUUGAAUCGGGUGCAACCGCAACAAACAAAAAACUAAAACAUGAACAAGAAAACAUCUUAAAGUGAUUAUGUGACUGU